rnacentral:sRNA from 1 species
GCUGGGUCCCUAGGCAUGUGCCCUUAGUCUCAGCUACUUAGGAGGCUGAGGUAGGAGGAUGGCUUGAGCCCAGGAGUUUGAGAUCAGCCUGGGCCACAUAGUGAGACCUUAUCUCUU